rnacentral:rRNA from 1 species
AUUGAACGCUGGCGGCAGGCCUAACACAUGCAAGUCGAGCGGAUGAAGGGAGCUUGCUCCUGGAUUCAGCGGCGGACGGGUGAGUAAUGCCUAGGAAUCUGCCUGGUAGUGGGGGAUAACGUCCGGAAACGGGCGCUAAUACCGCAUACGUCCUGAGGGAGAAAGUGGGGGAUCUUCGGACCUCACGCUAUCAGAUGAGCCUAGGUCGGAGUAGCUAGUUGGUGGGGUAAAGGCCUACCAAGCCGACGAUCCGUAACUGGUCUGAGAGGAUGAUCAGUCACACUGGAACUGAGACACGGUCCAGACUCCUACGGGAGGCAGCAGUGGGGAAUAUUGGACAAUGGGCGAAAGCCUGAUCCAGCCAUGCCGCGUGUGUGAAGAAGGUCUUCGGAUUGUAAAGCACUUUAAGUUGGGAGGAAGGGCAGUAAGUUAAUACCUUGCUGUUUUGACGUUACCAACAGAAUAAGCACCGGCUAACUUCGUG